GGGCGGUUUCCAUAUUUUGAAAUAGGUUCCUGAUUUCCUCACUUCUCCUGAGAUGAAGUCUAUUGAUGAUGUGCCAAUGUGAAGCAUUGGAUUGAAGUUGCGGAUCAGGAAGCAUUUUUUAUCCCAGCAGUGGAUCGAGUACUUCUAAACACAGUUAAAGAGUAAGGCAUACAGAGGCUUUGAUUUUUUCAAGUAUAGUUCAGAUUUUCAGGGAGCACUUCAACCCAGACAUAAACAAAGCAAAGAACUUGAUUACAAGGUACAAUCGUAACUACCA